ACGCUGGCGGCACGCCUAACACAUGCAAGUCGAACGAAGUAGCAAUACUUAGUGGCAGACGGGUGAGUAACAUGUAGGUAUCUGCCCUUUGGCCUGGAAUAACACGAGGAAACUUGUGCUAAUACCGGAUAAGUCUUUACGGAGAAAGCUUUAUGCACCAUUGGAUGAGCCUGCACUUGAUUAGUUUGUUGGUGGGGUAAUGGCCUACCAAGACUGUGAUCAAUAGCUGAUUUGAGAGGAUGAUCAGCCACAUUGGGACUGAGACACGGCCCAAACUCCUACGGGAGGCAGCAGUGGGGAAUCUUGCACAAUGGAGGAAACUCUGAUGCAGCGAUGCCGCGUGAGUGAAGAAGGCCCUUGGGUUGUAAAGCUCUUUCGUCGGGGAAGAAAAUGACUGUACCCGAAUAAGAAGGUCCGGCUAACUUCGUGCCAGCAGCCGCGGUAAUACGAAGGGACCUAGCGUAGUUCGGAAUUACUGGGCUUAAAGAGUUCGUAGGUGGUUGAAAAAGUUAGUGGUGAAAUCCCAGAGCUUAACUCUGGAACUGCCAUUAAAACUUUUCAGCUAGAGUAUGAUAGAGGAAAGCAGAAUUUCUAGUGUAGAGGUGAAAUUCGUAGAUAUUAGAAAGAAUACCAAUUGCGAAAGGCAGCUUUCUGGAUCAUUACUGACACUGAGGAACGAAAGCAUGGGUAGCGAAGAGGAUUAGAUACCCUCGUAGUCCAUGCCGUAAACGAUGUGUGUUAGACGUUGGAAAUUUAUUUUCAGUGUCGCAGGGAAACCGAUAAACACACCGCCUGGGGAGUACGACCGCAAGGUUAAAACUCAAAUGAAUUGACGGGGACCCGCACAAGUAGUGGAGCAUGUGGUUUAAUUCGAAGAUACGCGCAGAACCUUACCAACACUUGACAUGUUCGUCGCGACUCUAAGAGAUUAGAGUUUUCGGUUCGGCCGGACGAAACACAGGUGCUGCAUGGCUGUCGUCAGCUCGUGUCGUGAGAUGUUGGGUUAAGUCCCGCAACGAGCGCAACCCUCACUUUUAGUUGCCAUCAUUAAGUUGGGCACUCUGAAAGAACUGCCAGUGAUAAGCUGGAGGAAGGUGGGGAUGACGUCAAGUCCUCAUGGCCCUUACGUGUUGGGCUACACACGUGCUACAAUGGUAUCUACAACAGGAAGCAAGACUGCGAAGUUAAGCAAAUCCCUAAAAGAUACCUCAGUUCGGAUUGCACUCUGCAACUCGAGUGCAUGAAGCUGGAAUUACUAGUAAUCGUGGAUCAGCGUGCCACGGUGAAUGCGUUCCCGGGUCUUGUACACACCGCCC
rnacentral:rRNA from 1 species